CUACGUGCCAGCAGCCGCGGUAAUACGGAAGGUCCAGGCGUUAUCCGGAUUUAUUGGGUUUAAAGGGAGUGUAGGCGGUCUGUUAAGCGUGUUGUGAAAUUUAGGUGCUCAACAUCUAACUUGCAGCGCGACCUGGCGGACUUGAGUGCACGCAACGUAUGCGGAAUUCAUGGUGUAGCGGUGAAAUGCUUAGAUAUCAUGACGAACUUCGAUUGCGAAGGCAGCGUACGGGAGUGUUACUGACGCUUAAGCUCGAAGGUGCGGGUAUCGAACAGGAUUAGAUACCCUGGUAGUCCGCACGGUAAACGAUGGAUGCCCGCUGUUAGCGCCUGGCGUUAGCGGCUAAGCGAAAGCAUUAAGCAUCCCACCUGGGGAGUACGCCGGCAACGGUGAAACUCAAAGGAAUUGACGGGGGCCCGCACAAGCGGAGGAACAUGUGGUUUAAUUCGAUGAUACGCGAGGAACCUUACCCGGGCUUGAA
rnacentral:rRNA from 1 species